UUAGAUGAAAGUGUUUACGGUGUGUCUGGAGCUGGAGUAAGUUCCUGCGGGUGCCCAAGAGCAGGGGCCUCCUCUCUCCUCUCAUUAAUUUGCUGAUGCCUGCACUGAUGCAGCGGUGAGAUACUGGGGAGAGAGCCACUCAGAGGCCUCCAAAGGAGGCUUCUCGUCUUCAGUCUUCCUCGUUCAGCUGCCCCACAUGUCCUCACUCCAAGGAGAGAUGGGGCCCAAUGAAGUGGUCACCUAAUCCCAGGGUGUCCAGUCCAUGUGGCCAAAGUAGGCCCUGAGCCUCAGACUUGGCCUCCCUGCACGACUUCAGGGUCAGCUGGGCCCAACAGUGACAUCCUAGGGUAGGCCGAUGUUCUUCAAUUUUUUUUGACCCCAAAACCAUGGAAAAAAAUUAACUUUUCACCCCCACCCAAUACAGAUAUUUUUAUACAAUCUAGAUUGAGAUAUAGGCACAGAUAGAUGUACCUAUAAUCAGAAAAAAACAAAAACAAAAAAACCCACUUACCUUUUCUGUAAACGAUACACUGAGGCUUUUUUUUUUUUAAUCUCGUUGUUUUAAAGUGCUGGCUGUAAACCACUAAACUGAUUUCACAACCCACUAACGGUUUGUGACCCACGGUGUGAAAAACACUAUUGUAAGAUAGGUGAUGUGCCUUAUUCAGCUUGCCCCCGACAGCCUUUUUUAUUCUCAAGGGGUACCAAGGAAAGUUCCAAAUCUGAACUGAUCUGAGAGCCGCCCCAUCCCCCACCCCUCUGCCCCCAGGGAGGCGGAGGGAGCUGGAUGCCCAGCAAAGUCUCAGGGAGGCCAGGCCAGGCGUGGGCAGGACCAGCCUGCAUCCCUCUCCAUGUCUGUCUUCCCUGAACCCCUGCACCCCUCUCUCCAUGACGUUUAUGAGUUGUUGAGGUGAAUGGCUGCUGAGCCCCGGUGGGAGGGGAAGGGGCAGGGAGAGGUGGGCAGGAGGCAGAGAAAGAAAAGGCACCACCCUAUCGCCGGGAUGACGCCUGUCGGCACCACAUCCUGGGCACCGGCCUUUGCCCCCCUCCCUUUCUCCCGCCAGGCAGAGGACCCCCAUCUUUCAGAUCCCAACCCCUUUUCUCCACUCAGAAAACUCCUUCCAUGUCACAGGCCUUCCCUGACCCUGAGAAUCCAGAGAAGGGUGGGUUGCCACCCACACCCCCAAAUGGCUGGGGUUUGAGGACAUCUGUGAACGGUGUUCAGUUCCAGCUUGAAGAGGGUGAGACCUUGGGAAUCACUUGACAGUCUUUUAGUUUGGACAGAAGAAAUUUGUCAUCUUCUGGGCCUCCCCACAUUGCCACUGCCCGCCCCCCGGGUGGGCACAGCAGGAGCCCCAGCCGCUUGCCCGCAUCUUUACCUACACUCUUUUCUCCAUUCUUCUCUGGAUGGCAAGGGUCGCUCUGUGUCCACUUGAGACGCCCAGUCCCCUGAAAGCGAUGGAUCUGUUGCGCCCAUGAGACUAUGUCCAACCAACCAGCUUCUCCUAUGACCUAUAGCCAUGUCGUCUGUGUGCGCCCAGGAAGUCCGGAGGGAUGUGAUGAACGCUCCACACAGUGACAGUGCUUUCCGCUCUGCGGCUGGGGCAGGGUUGGUAUUCCUUGCUGAUGGGUCCAGAGAGGUUCCCCUUUUCCCUCAAGAACACAAGGAGCACCUCCAGACUCUCCUGUCCUCUCUUCCUUCCUCCCUGUUUCUUUCACCUCAGUCCAAGUUUCUUCCAGCCCACCCUGGACGUCAGUACGGCGUCGACAGUUAGAUGCACCUCUCCAAAUGGCAUGCUGCAAUCUCCCGGAACCCAGUCCUGGGGGGUCAGGGGACAUCGUAAGCCCGCGGGCUAGGAGAGGCAGCAGGCACAGUCUUCAGGCCCGUUGGUCAAGGCCGAGGCCUCGGAACCAUAAAAGCCAAUCCGUGCCCUCAAGGAAUUUACAGUGUCUUUAGCAAGAGGUGAACAAAUACAGGGAACCGUUGAAGGCAGGGGGGCGGGGGGACUAAUUGGUUCUUAAGAUUCCUAAAGAAGUCUGCAUGACUGCAGAGGCCAGUUUCAGCUGGAAUCUGAGGGAAAUUUAACGCUUAGGGGGAGCAGGUGGGGGGACACCAAGUGCUCAGGAACAUUUGAGGGAAUAUUUGGACAGGGAUGGAGGGCAUCUGCAGAAGACAAGAAGGACGAAGCAAGAGAGGGAGGCAGGGAGCCACAAACUGUCCGGUCACUCACACCAAGUUGGAGAGUUUGGACUUUAAUCUGUGGGCAAUGGGAAGCUGUUGAAGGUUCUGUGAGCCUAGCGGGGAGGAAAUGGUGGCAGGGGAGAAUCGCUUGUCAGUGGUGCAUGGAAAGGACUGGAAGGGUUGUGUCCGGAGUCUGGGAGACCAGUUGGGAACGUUUGCACAGGCUCGGGUGCCUGGCAGCCAGGAUCAAAGCUCAUCUGGAGACUUAGGGGACGCACGAGUCAGCAAAUGACAUUGGGAAGGCACCAGGGAGUAGUGACUGACUUUGCUGGGGUCAAAGAUGACAUUGAGGUUUCUGGUUUGGAAGAACUGGGUGCCGUUCCACAGCGGGGGGCUGGCCAUUAUUUGAGAGCAUAGUCAAAGAGUUCAUUUGCAGUCAGGUUAUAGGAAAGGACUAUAUCCUGGAUGCAGAAUAGAAAUCCCACCAGAGGGAUGAGUCUGAUUAUACACGUCUUUUCUCCCUCUCCACUCUUCCCCCACCCCUAGACCACAUCUCUUCAGGCAUCAGAGAAUAUUUUCCUUGGACCUCGGUCAUCGUGCCCUAAGCAAUACUGGUGCAUCUCAGUAGAGAGAUUUGCAACCAGCUGUUCCACCAACCAGGUGACUCAAGCAGAAGGCAGCUCACAGAGGACGGCUGGUGUGCUGCCUAGAGACCCCCAGACCCCUGAACUGACUUGUGCUUAGGGAACAAAUGGUGCCACUUGUCUUUCUGUUGGCUCAGUGGCCCACCAGUUCCUACUUCUUGUGAUUCAGGCCUUUCUUCUUGACGAGUAGGUUGCAGAGAGUGACGAGGAUCUCUGCAGAAAAGUGUGUUAGACCAAGAAUGAGGCCAAUCCUAUUUCCCCACCAUCUGAUCCAUCUAUCUACUGGUGCUCCUCACAAGGCACACAGCCAAGUCUACCUGGGCCCAGACGUGAGGGCCACUUUCUAUUGGUGCCCACGUCUGGCUAUUUCCCCUGAAGUGCCAUUUCUAUUCACACUCGAUGUGUACAGGAGGCCCCUGCUCCUCUCUCCUCUUUGAUGUUGUCAAAGCUUCCUAAGACCCUCAGCUUCUACCUCUGGAAUAGCGUCUGUGGUCCCUGAUACUUCCUACGUGUGGGAGGGGUGGGGAUGGGGCAGACUUUGCAGCAAGGGUGAGAUCAGGUAGGGGUUGCUCCAGAAGACGAUCAGAGAGGAGAAGGCCAACCUGACCUCUGGGGGGUGGGGGCAGGGUUCCCUAGUCCAGGGCUCAUUCUCUGGAGGGUCAAGUGCUCUGGAGUAAGCCCUCCUGUAUCUUUCCCUCUGUACUUUGGUCACACCGCCAAAAAUGAGCAACUCCUGUUGACUCUGGGUCGAAAGGUCCCUUGUGCCUGGGCCCUCAGCUGUGAAACCCUCUUUGGCCCCACCCGGGGAGGGGGCUUGUGCAAGACAGGGCAGCUGCCCAAGCCAUGCAAGCCACUAUAGGCUGUGACCAAGCAGCCCCAGGGAUCCACCCCUGCAGGCUACACCUUGUCCAGUGUGGAGGCUCCCUGGACCCAGCCCCAGAAAGGCCUGAGCAAAGGAAACACACAGGGCCCUCCAGGCCACAGUCGCUUCUGAUGUAAAAUGAGGUCUUUGAACUUGAGGGCCUGGAAGUGGCCCUCCAGUACUAGCGGUCCAUGAUUGUCUGAAACCCAUCAGCUUCUUCUUCUUCACCCCACAACUGAAUUUUCCCUGCCUCCUGCACAUCAAUGACGCAGGCGGGAGUCCCCCACGAUGUGGCCCAGUGCCAUGUCCUGGGGAUUAUAUCCUGAUUGUGUUCAACAUUUGCCUGAAUAGAAACCAGGUGACAGCACGGGAAGGACCCCCGCUCCGAAGGCGCUUUCACCCCUAAGCAUGGAUCAAAUGCAUCUGGUGGGUACAGGACACCAGGAACACGUGGCAGACCCCACCUCCAGAUGCCCACGGCUCAGUAGGAGGAGAUGGACCAACAAAUAAACAAGAAAAUCUAAACUAUGUAGCCUUUCCUGGUGGGUCCGAGCCAGCCCAAGGCCCUGCCUUCUCCCCGGUUAGCAUGGGAUGAUGGACUUUCGAAUCGGGCAGUGGGGAGAGAGGGAAAUAAUGUUACUCCCAAUUCAACCCCGGAGCCCCAACACCCUUUUAGCUUUUGCUUUAUGCUUUGGCACUUUCUUUGUUUUUGGUUUGCAGGUGAUUAGGAUCUUGACUACUAAGAAACUUUUAUAAAUUUGGCUGAUGUACACUGAUUCUUUCGUCCUGGAACCUAGAGUCUCCGCCCAUUUCCUGAUGGGCACUGUCACCUGGGAGCCCCAACUCCAGAUGAGACAGGAAAUCUUGGAGUAUCGAUGAUGGUGCUCUCAGCACUGGGAAAAUGGAGGGACACCAGAGAUAGUGGCAGAAACUGUCACCAGCCCUCAUCCCAGGACCCCCCAAAGGAGCACCCGUUACCCCUUUAUUCUUUGCCCUUCUCUUCAGCCAGGUUCCUUCUGAAACAAAUGACCAGCUUAUAUGUUUGGGUGACGUUUUUAAGCCAUGGCAACUGUCCCCCAGGUUGGCCCAAACUCUCCUGCGGCCUGGGAGACCCCCCCCCACCUUUCUUUCUGUCCCAUUUUGCCCCAGUCAAUCAUCACAAGGAAGGCCUAGAAGUAUUACAGCCUGAAACUAGCUUAGAAGUAUGUCAGUGGGGCCAAAGCAGGGUCAGUGGGGGGCGGCGGGGGGAUCUUUUCUACAGUAGCUUUGAAGCUGCCAUUGAGCACAUGUCCCCUGACUCUAAGCAGCAUCCCAACUCAAAACAAAGUGGCCCCGAUAGCCCCAGAUAACGCCUCCUACUCUGUGCCUGGAUACUGACAGGUGGUCACGUCCACAAAAGUGUGUGUGGACACUUCAACCUCCUUGACUUCAUAAAGAUUAAAAAGUGUCUAGCAGACAGACAGGAUCUCUGCCCCCAGGAAAACAGUGAUCUAGAACAAUGAGACAGAUAUUAACCAAAUGAUGACCCAAGUUUGUACUUACAAUUCUAAGAGCAGGGAGAAAAUGCCCAGGGUGCUGUAAGCAUAGUGGAGGUUAAAGUAGAGAACAGGCUUCUAGAAAUUUCUAGUUCCCUCUUGCCCCAGCUGAAUCUGACUUCCGAACAGAUGAUGGUUUCUUCCCAACUUCCUUCCAAAUGGUGAGAUAAAAGAGCUCCUCUCCUGCAGGUAACUCCCAUGUGGAUGCCAGCCAGAAGCCGCCCUGAGGGUCUCAAUGGUCACUGGGGCUCCCAGAGACCUGCUCCCACAGGCCUCAGGCUGGAGAGACAUGGCAAUCACAUGACAACCUUGCACAUGCAGUAAGGCUGAGCGGCUAGAUAGCGAUUUUAGCUUAUUUUUGGUCCUUCUCUGUUCCAUAUCUCUAUCCUUUGGUUUUAAAAAGGCCAGAUCGAUUUUGAGCCUGGUUCUAAACAUGGAAACUUAACUCACUUUGUACCUGCUCCUGGUGCCUUCGCCGUGGAGAGGCCCUGCUGCCUUGGGUCAUUUGCCCCAAGAAGCUUGGGUCCUUUGUCUCCCAAGUAGGGGGUGCUCAGAAAUCCUUCCAGAGACUCAAGUUGCAUCGCAGUGUCCAGUUUGUAGCCUGUACCACUUACCUGUGGCUGAACACUGAGAAGUAGACCAAUCUCCUUGUUUGUAAUCACAGGUGAAUUCACAGCAGGAAGGCGAUGCUCCCGGGGGUGGAUCUAAAUGGGCAUUUGCCACCAGAUAACCCUCAGCCAAAUCUGGUGUGCAGCCUGCCUAGACCCCGGUUGGUUUAUUACCUCUCAGAGUGGGCAAAGCUUAAUAUUGGUCUUCACUUCUUGCUCAACACCCUUUCUCCAGAGAGGGUCCUUGGAAAGCACCUUCUUAGACAGGAAAGGAGGAGGCCAGAAAGACUGGCUUCCAGAAAUUCUGGGAUUCAACAGGUGCCAUUCUGGCUUGCCCUUCCCUGGUUCCUUGGGAUCCUAUGUGAGUGCUGUGUGACUCUCAAACGUCUCAGGGAAAGAAAGGUGGAGUCUGGCCAGUUCUUCUCGCUGUCAGGUGUGACUGCCACAUGGUGUCAUCAUUGAACACUGACCCUGUGGAGGGUCCCUGGACUUGAGCUGGUCCAGCAGUGACGAUGCCCUGAGCAGGCUGUAGACUUCCUCAAGAGAAGGUGACCCCACUUCCAUGGUGUUAAACUCAACCUAGGCCCCACCUUUGAGCAUGCCUAUGAGUAUGCAUGGGUGUGUACACACACACACACACACACACACACACACACACACACUCGGUGGCUAUUUCCAAAGCACGUCCAGCGUGCCUGAGUGACUGGGUCAAGGAUUGCUUCCAUCCCCACAGAGAGUGCUAGAAUCCCAUCCCUUCCCCCAACUGACCUCCUCCAUGUGGCCUUACAUUGAGCCUGGGCCAGUAGUCAAGGUGGAAUUUUAUGCCUGAGUGUGGCGCACCUUUAUCCAUCCCAAAAGACUUCAGGACUUUGAAUAUCAGGAAUUAGAGGUUGGAGUCUUUGCCAGAAGGUUCUAGCUCCUAUGCAAGUAGAUUUACUUCCUCACCUAAUUAGCUCUGCAUUCAGGAGACUUCUGAGGGCAAGUCAAGGAAGGUUCUAUAACAGUCUAAAUCCAUAAAAAAAGCAACUGCUUGCUCUCACUGCUCUCUCUACAUAACAAAGAGGGACGUUCAAGUGGGUUUUUCAAAGGGGAGAGAUUAGCUUCUCUCAAUUAAAAAAAAAAUUAAGGCAGCUACAUUUACAUUCCUUCUGUAUGUGUGGUCCUUUCUGUCUGCUUGGGGACUAUGGUCUCCUCUAAUGAUCUUUGAUUCUGUUUACUCCACUAAAGAGUUAUCAAAACCUAAAUUCUAAGACUUUUUUAGCCCAGGCAACGGGCCUUCCCUGUUUAAACAUGGAAAAGAGAAUAUUUUCCCAUGAGCUGUUCCUCUAGAAACAGAUUAUUAAUCUAAGCAGAAAAUCUCCCUGACUCAUAAAUAGCACGGGUAGUGUUCAAUGUGGUCUAUAGUAUACAUCUGAAAAAAACAAAAUAUAACUUCGUUUCUACCAGGGGCCAGCACCAUGGAUUAUAUCACAUCGGGCUGCGUUUAUCACCCUUCUUUAAACUUUUAAGAUAUCUAACUGGGAUGAUUAGAAACCAAAAUGUGCAAGGCUAUAUUGGCCACAUGCUGCUUUGUAGCAGAGCUGUGCGAGUCUGUCCAGCAGACAACUAAGAGAGGGUUUCUUACCUCGCUGCCUAUCAAGCGAUGGCUCCUCGAACUGAACUCUUUGGGGUCGGCUUCGGACAAACUGUCGAGCCUGCAGCCAGGAAAAAAAUAAAAAAUCUUCCUAGUCAGAAACCACAUCUAAUCUUCACAAAUUAUUAUCAAUUUCUCUUUGCAAUAAAAAAAUCUCAGAUAAUAUACGUCCUUAAUGGAGGGCCAGCAUAUCUGUCCAUGAGAUCCAGGGAGGGGUUGGGGGGGUGGGGUGUACUGGGGAGAGGAAGGAAGAAAGCAGGUAAAUUAGAACACUCAUUUAUUACAUAUAGUGUCAGAUUAUUUGACAUUUUUACAGUAAGCAGUCUCUUUCAUGCUUUUAUAAUUCUUAAUUUUUUUUAAAGUUCCAAUGUCAGUUCUUUCUUGAUUAAGCCCAACUAUAGCUGUCUUUGGCUACUAUUAUACCCAAGAAACAAGGAUUUAAGCACAGUGGUCUAGAGACAAAUUAGCUUGCUGAUUAUCACCCCAAGGAGACAUCUCGUAGGAACAACAUAAGGCUGUAGCUCGUGUGGAUUUUUGGCUCCAUUGAUUAAAAAAAAAAAAAAAAAAAAAAAAAAGGCUUUGAAAUACACUAAAUGAGACCAGUUCAGAUCCCUGUACUGAUGCAUGUAGGAAGUCUGUAUUCUAGCAUCAAAACAAGGCAUAUAGAAACUGUCGUUCUCAGAUAAGAAUUUCCAGUUCGAGAAUAUGGGAUAUAGUCUGAAAUUCCAUUCAUAUUUGUGAGUAACUUGGACCCACUUUUAGGUGAACCAGAUACAAGUCCCCCACUGUAGCUGAGCUCUUCUUCAUGCAAAUAACAUGACCUCAUUGCCAAGAUUAGAAAUACCUUGAUAGACAACUGGCCCUACUUUCAAUCAGCUAUUACAAAUUCUGCCCCCACUCUCUAAUAUCCUCAUGCCUCAUGUCGACAUAUCAUUUACUGGGGUGACAUUUUGAAAACAUGGAUUUCUUUUUUAUUUAUUUUUUUGUUUUAGAAAACAUACAUUUCUUGCAGAUACAGGAAACUACUUUGCUCAAAGUUAAUUGAGCAUUUAGAGUAAUUUCAGAAAUGUGUUUAUAGGCUAAGGAGGGCAUCUGGUUACACCUGUUCUCAGAAUGAUACCGGCUAAAAGAAAAAGCACAGUCAACAAGUAUGUUUAAACCUCUAUUGUGUUUGGUUUGGAGAAAUCAAAAAAUAGAACACAAAUUGAAAUUUAACUACCCAUCACAGUCUGAAAAAUAGAUCAAAGCUGCAGAAAGAUACACUUUUUUUAAUUACGUGGAUUUGCUGUCAUGAUUUUUAUGUUUUGUUUCUGAAGGGUAGAGAACGAUCACACCUAUUCCACACUUCCACAUACAUCACACUGCAGCAAACGAAGGCUUUUAUUUCUGCCUCCCUGAAAUGCACACUCAUUUUCCUUUUGAACAAUGGUGUUUGAGGAAUCGGAGGCCUCUCGGUGCAAGAGUCCUUCAAAAUGCUGCUCAAACUGAGGAUUUUGAGGAGAUGAUCACCACUUGGGGACCUGGAAAGGGUUAUCCUGCAGCACCUCUAUAGAAUUAUUUCCAUGUUUGUGCUCUGCAGUAACUUGUAAUUCAGCACCAGGAUUCCCUUUGCUCCCCAUUUUUAACUAACGAGGCCAAAGCGGGUCUAAAGCAAGUAACGAAGGACUAAGGGAAAAAAACUGAGACUGUUUGGUGGUCAGAAAACAUCAUGGCAGCUGGCAGUGAGAGCCAGGCCGCCCAAGGAUGGCGUAAGUUUUAAAGAUGCUCAGAGAGUCUCCCCAAGCUACCCCACAGAUGUGACCAAUACACAUACAUAGCACCCACACUUGGCCUUAAGGGGAAUUGUUCAAAAACACUUAACUUAUAGGGUUUGAAAAUUGGAUAUUUAUCUUCUUUAAUUCCUUCAUGCGCCUCUCAGAGUUCAUGAACCAACAGUCGGGAAACAUCCUCUGGAACAGCUGAUGGAAAGGCACAAGGAUUAGAACUUUGAAAAGCAUCUAAAGGGCUUGUUUGGGGUUGGUUUUUGCUGGUUGGCUCAUUUGAGGGGAAACCUUGGUCCUGUUGGCUCGUGUGUGCGUUCGCAACCCCACAUUCUUCCAACCCGUGGCCUUGUUAGGAUUCUCAGCUUUCCUAGAAGAUCUCUAUCCCACUGCCUCUCCAAGCACCUAGCCAGCAUCCUGGAGUAAGCAUACUCCUAGCAUUCAGCAGGGAUAUCAGUUGGGCACAGUAAGGGGACUCUCCUGAAAUAGAGCCCAUCCUGUCCAUCUGGCACUCCAGAACAGCACUGUUCAAGUUUUUUAAACCCACUCGGCAUUUUGACAACCCCCAACCCCAAAUCACGGCCAUCCUUUAUACAGUUACUUGAAAUUCCAAACUAAAUUCAACCCCAGAACUUGGAAAUUCAAACAUCAAGGCAAGAGGACAACACUCCAACUUGCCUUCACACUCUACAAUAGCCACACACCUGUUAGAAAGGCGGAAACUCCUUUCUAUAGUCCUGUAGACUAUAAUAUGAUUAUUCAUCAAGAUAUUACAAGAGCAUCAAUUGGAACAUUCUUCGUAUUAAUAAGACAUUAAGGAAUAUGUACCUAAAUCUACCCAAAUCUACCAAAAUCUCCCAAAUUGAUUUCUUUCCUCUAUUCCAACAACAAACAGAAAAUAUAGGAGUAUAUUGGGAGGAUUGAAAAAACUCAGAAACCACACUAAUGACAAAUGUCAAAGACCUAUAUUAAAAACACAAACCUUUUACAGAGAUUGAUAAAAGAGAAAAGUUCAUGGAAAGACGUAACCUUGGAUUGAAACAUUCAAUAUAUUAAUGCUGUUAAUCCUCACCAAAGUAAUUGUUAGGUGAAAUGCAAGCCUAACUGAAUUCCAGUGGGAUUUUUUUUUUUUUUUACCUUGAUGAAAGAUUCUAAAGCUGAUCUGGAAGGGGAAAAAAUGAUGAGAGGAGAAUAGUUAGGAGUUGUUUAAAGAAUAUCAAGGAAGUACUUUCCCUAAGAGAUAUCCAGCUAUAUUAUUAUUGAUACAGUCAUUAAAAUAGUGUGUUACUGAUUGCAAGACUCAAAUCAAUUGAAGAAGUGGAACCACACAGUCCUGAAACCUAUUAUAUGGUUUUUUUUUAAACUUAAAUCUGAGAAAUGAAAUACCAGAAAGCAAUGGUUAAUGUUUGAAUUAUCUAAAAGGGAAAUUGGAAAAUAUGGCCGUUUGGGAAGGGGAAGGAAUCAAAUUUGAUUCCUAUCUCAUAACAUACACUCAAAAACAUUUGAGUGUAUUAAAUGUAAAAAAAAAAAAUGAAUCCAAAAAUAUCUAAAAGGAAAUAUUGGUGUAUAUUUAACUAAAGCCUAGGUGAGGAAAGGCUUUAAAAAAAUUUUUUUUAAUGUUUUAUUUAUUUUUGAGAGAGAGAGAGAGACAGAGCACAAGCAUGGAAGGGGCAGAGACAGAGGGAGACACAGAAUGUGAAGCAGGCUCCAGGCUCCGAGCUGCCAGCACAGAGACGGAUGCGGGGCUCAAACUCGUGAACCAUGAGAUCAUGACCUGAGCUGAAGCGCGAUGCUUAGCAGACUGAGCCACCCAGGUGCCCCUAGCAAAAGCUUUUUGAUCAUGAAGUAAAUGAAAGUGAUGAUCAGAACAGAAGGAGUUAUCUAAAAACAUAUCAAAAACAACCUGCACAAAACAUAAAAGGAAAUGAUAAAUCGGCUAAAAAUAUUUGAAGGAAAUGAACAAAGAGCUAAAAGGUUUAAUACAGCAAAUACUUUUAUACAUCAAUAAGGAAGACAAUCCUGGGCAGACAGAGAAUCCCAAGCAUACAAUUUUUAGAAGAAAUACAAGUGUGUAACUAAAUUCAUGAUAAAUGUUUGAUCUCAAGGUUAAUCAGAAAAAGGCACAUCAGCAAAAUGAGAUCUUUUUUGCAGUUAAUAACUGUGUCUUUUAAUUAUAUUCACAGUUGAUGAGGUGAAGAAGGGUGGCGGGGGGUGGGGCUGUUCAGGUCCCCUUCCAGGGAGCCUGCCUGGGAAGCCUGGGAAGCAGAAUUGACUGACAGCUCUAGCUGCCUGCCCCCUGGUGACCCCUAAGGGUCCCAACCGCAGCUUGAGAGUGACAAGGGUCCUCAGACCAGCCCAUUCUUGCAAGAAACUUUGGUUUGGGGGUUCCCUACCUCUGCUCAAAACUUUCUUAGAAUCAUGCCACAGUCUGAGCCACUUCUACACUACCCUUUCCUCUCUCGCCUUCCCAAAUUUCCGUCUGAAGGCUCUUCUGCUGGCCCUGCCCCCCUCCUCACCUUCCCCUUCACACUGGCAUCACCCCCAUCCACAUACAUCUGGGUGCCUGCUUCUCAAGACACUAGAGUGACACAGGAAGUGAUGUGGGCACCGUCCUACUCUGCUAAUGGGACUGUCAAUGAGCACAACCUUUUUGGAAACUACCAACGAUGGAAUUAACGGUGUUUCCUCAUUGAAUAGGAUAUUGUGUGGUUGUGAACCGUCAGGUUUGGAAAGAACCCUGAUGGGAAAAUAUUUGUUUUAUAAUCUUAACUGGCUAAAGUGAGAAACUACAUUGACAGCAUGACAUGAGUUUCAAAGAACCAUCACAUGUAAUAGAUGGACACAUAGAAGAAAGACGGGCAACAAAUCCACCCUGAUGUACAGGGUGGCCAUGUCAGAGGAAGGGGCUGUGGACGACUUUUUCGUCUUUAUACGUUUCUGCGUUUUUUGUAUUUUCUGCAGAAAGUAGGUAUUAUUUCAUAGUCAGGAGCUUUAAACAACAAGAUUUAAAUGCAGGCCAGAACAAGAGGGGGCAAUAGAACAGGAGCCCAGUGUAAUUGUACAGGAUCCACUGUGAUGGGCUGGGAAGGGGAAGAGGGCCCCCGGCCCCAGGCCAGAUGGAAAGGCCGCAACAGACAUUCAGAUGACUGGAGUGGCCAUGGCCACAGGCAGGAAUUGCACGGUCUGAACCAUCAGUGGGAAGUGGGAACAGGGUUGGUUUUUUUUAAUGAGAAAAACAAUAGGAAAGAUUGAGAAGCUCAAGUCAGAACAGGAAAGAGUCUUCAAGUGCUAAGCCAGUCCGUGGAAAGCCUUGGAAGUUUCUUUGGCAUUGCCAGCUGACUGAUACUCCCUUCUCCCUGCCAUUCCUCUGAAUCCCCAGAUUAAACCCAGAGAAAGCACCCACAGCGAGAAGCAGCUAGAAGGAGUUUGAGGUUUAGUCGUCAUGUGCUCAUCUACCUGAGUGCCUGCAGCCUAGGCAGCCACGGGCCCCCGGGGGGAACUGUCCCCACCCCUAAGGGAGGGCAGCCUUCCCUUGAAGUGACUCUUCCUCAGGAGUUGUUUUUCUUCUCUUUUGCUUCGUCUGCCUCUCCCUCACGUGGGCGAGGGGGCGGAGAUCCAUGCCUCUCAGUCUGGACUUUUAAAGAAACCCCUAGAAUCCCCCUCCCUUGAGGACCCGUCUCUGGUCACUUCGCCUUUUUGCUUUUUUACUCCUGUAUCUGCGGCCAGCCACAGCUGUCUCUCUCGGACAGAAACCAUGAACUCUGGUCCUGGAUGACUCCUCCCACCCCCAACGCUGUUCCCAGCCCCAGUAGGAUAUUUCUGGGCCCCUGGGGGCCUCACCUACCCAGAGGAGGGUUCCAGCUCCCCAAAGGCUGCCCUGUUCCAAUCUGCCCCUGCCUGUGGAGGGAGAAAGGAGGGAGGCUUGGGGCGGUGGGGGCAGGGGCAGGGGCAGGAGGCGGGCAGGCCAACCCCCUCCUCCUCUUUCUUCCAAGCGGCAGCAGGCAAACCCCUCUUCUUCCAGUCUGGGCAUCUCAGAAAUGCACAGGAUUCUAGAGAUGAAGAAAAGCCCGGACAUGUCGUUUAUACUUUCACAGCUAACUGCCGAAUCCCUUUCAGUCAAAUGCCCAAGUACACGUGGCAAGACUUGCUCCAAGAAGUGAUGGGGCCUGAGGCUCAGGGCGGUCCCUCAGGCCCAGAAAGGCUGGGUCCAGCGACCUUAGAUGUUCGAGGGGUGAGGGGGCACCGGGGGGGCAUUCCACAGCUAGCCCAGGAAGCAGAUGGAAAGGCUCCCCCCUUCCUCUGGGACCUUCCCCACACGCCAUUCUGGGCUCACUCUGCACGACUCCAGGAUUAGUCGGGGUCGGCUGAGAUUCACUCCAGGAGUGACCCCGGACCACAGUAAGAAGCGCCUAUGAUGUGGGUACCCAUCACACCCACGGGUGCACUCCAAGAGGAAGCGUAAGUUUCACAAAACAGUACUUACCCCAGUACGUGUAGCACACACUGAUAUUUUCUCUUACGGUUUUGAUGCUGUUCAAGACCCACUAAACCAUUUCAUGACUCACUGUUGGCUGGCAGCUGGCAGUUUAAGGCCCCCGGGCACCCUGACAGCCUCCCAUCAGGUGUUGGAGAGGAACCAUCCGAAUUGGAAGGCUUUGGUGACGGGCCUCCCCUCCUUCUCUGUUUCUCCGUGCUAGGUCAUAGUAAGCACCUGGCACUUUUAGGUUAAGGGGGGCCGGGGGGGGGGGGCGGUGACGGGCUGGUGCCUGUAGGAAAGAUGCCAGGGGUAGGAGUGGAGAGGGAAUCUCGGAGGGAAACUGCUUCGAGGUAUGUCUCAUAUCCAGGUCAGGGCUCAAGCUGCACGGCAGAAGCAUAGGCACCUGUAUUUUCUAGGCUUUUCCCAUUCUCGAUGCCAGGCACCCCUCCUCCUCCCUGCUGGGGAAAGACAAAGACUAUUUACCCCACGGGAUGUCCCUCGGGGAAUCCUGGGCUCCCAGGCUCCAUUCACCCGUCCCUAAAUGACCAGAGUUUAGGAGCAGCUGGGACUCCUUUAAACUCCAGCUGGGAGAGGGCAAGAUUGAGCUCACCUGAUAUCUUUUCACAAGGGAUACAAGAGAUUAGUGAUUCCCUCUCACUGCACCCCUACAAGCAUCUUCGGAAAGAUCCCUGGGGGACUGAAGCAGGGAAGGUGGGUGAAGUGCCCCAAAGCCCUCCCACACAAAGCCCUGCUUUGGGCUGCGGUCCAUUCUCAGUAUCCUUGCCUUGCGUCGCAUCCCCAGCUCUGGGAAGCUAUUGCCCUAACCAUUGAGCCUAGUGUUUCCAGGAACAUGGUAGUCAAGUCUCCAGCGGCAUCCCUCAGACCGCCAGCACCCUGGCAUGGUCCAGACGGCCCCGAGCCUCAGGGCGCUGCCCACUAGGAUCUGACCCUGCCAGAGCUGGGUUCACUGCUGCUGAGCCAGGUCAGAAGCCUCUCCUUUUGUUGUUCUCUCCUCUUCUGCUCCAAGCCACCAGGGUCUGGGCCGCAGGAGGGGUGUGGUCCAUCCCUGACAUCCAAGAGUCACUUUCAUCUCCAUCCGACUCAAGUCACUGCAGCGUCCCCCAAGUUCUUAUAAACGCCACUGUCUACAAGUGUUUACAGAAUACUCACUACACUGCACUCAAGCCCAAGGAAACAAGGAAACAAGACAGAUUCCAAAUGCUCACGGAGCUUGCAAUGCCACAGGGAAGACAGCAGUCCAAGCCAUGUAUGAGUGCCUGCAAGAGGCCAAGCUAGGCGUCUAGGGGGUGGGAGCUGGGCGGGAUGACUGGGGUGCUGUGACAGGGGGCGGUGUGAGGGGAGAAGGAAUUUGAGGGGAAGAGAGGGUGGCCACACCAAAGGGAAAGACUAUAUGGCACCAUCCCAGUCCCCCUGGGCCACAAAAGAUGGGCUUCCCGUGCAAGUCGCUUCUCCCUCCUCCGUGUCAUAUUUUUGUCAAGUGACAAAAGCCUGCGUCUGAGAGAGACCCUUCCUGUUUUCUUCCUGUAGACUCGAUGUCUAGCGUUUCUCAACGUCCUAGAUCAGAAAGUCAGCUUAGAUACAUGACGGCGGCACAGCUCUGUGAGCGGGGAGAUUCAUGCUUGUGCUGGGUUGGCCAUCAGACAAGGAGAUCCCGACGAUCUCUUCCAGAUCCCAGAUUGGCGAAUCUCUCUACUCCCUCCCAAAUCCAUCCUCCAUUUCCAAGACUGUCAGGUGUCUGGUUGACCAGCUCUCACCAUUUCCCUGUCACGGUCGAUAGGCACAGCCAUGGGGCUGCGUUCUUUCCAGUGUGGAAAGAAGGUGUGGAUGACUUCCAGGUAGCCCAGAAAAGCAUUAUACGCUCCCACAUCCCAUGAGCCGGAGUGAUGAUGACCAGAAUAGCAACCCUGGAAGCCACUUGUUGAAAAUGGCAGAGCCACUCUCCGUGUGGGUCCUAUAGGAAUGCACAGAGCAGUAUACUUUCUGCCCCAUCUCCAACCAUCCAGGACAUGUGCCUGGACUAUUAGGUGAGAAAGAAAGAAACGUCUCUUGCCCUUGAGCUCUAUUGUAUCUUGGGUCUAUUUGUUAAGAGCAUUUUGGCCUACCCUAACAUAAUCUCAAAGACCUGAGUUUUCCUUUAUCAGUCAAACAAGUGACUCAAGAAUGGUUAAUGAAACUCAAUUACUUACAAUUCUGGGUAUUGAUAACUUAGGGAAAGAGAAAAUUAGGUGGCAAUUUAAAUGAAGGGUUACACAUUCAUAAACUUGCCCUAAAACAUUUUGGAGAUGUCAACUUUAGCUUUGUAUAUCUCCAUUUGAAUUUGAAGACAGAGCUGGCAGCCAGUUCCAAGGAGGUGUCUAAUUGAGGAUUGCUUUUCAAUUCAAAAAACAUACCCUGAGAGUCCCCCCUGCCAGGUAAACCCAACUCUUAGAAAGGGAGCUGGAUACAAAAUGGAAGAAGUGGCCUCCUAGAAACAAUGGUACCCUUUACUGGGCUCCAGAAAAGCAAUCAAAUAUAGCCACCCAACGGGUUCUCACCUACCGAGCUCUUUCUGCAGGCCUGGAGGAUACUGACAUCAUGCAAAUGUUGUGUCUAAAAGAGAAAACCCAAGGUGUUCUGGAAGGAGGGACGGUGCUUUCCCUCCACCCUUAGAAUUGUCCUUUAGAGGAGAAUUGUGUCUUAGGAAGAAAACUACUGCUGUCAGCACAGCACCAAUCAUGACCAGUAGGAACCUAAGGCGGUACCUGGGCUGGGGACGGAGGCCUGGCUGUCAGUGGCUAAGAUGUCUUCCUGAACCCUCCAGGAUGCUUUUAGAGUUUAUGUUUUUAAGCACACGCAAAGUGCGUUGUUGACAUGUUGCACGGCAGAACCUGAUAUAUACUCUCUCCCCAAUACCCAAGUAAAAUAUCCCAAAAUGUGCUCGCAAUGGGGAAGGCCCUCAACUAACCGCUGUAUUCAUGGUGGCAGCCUGCUGGUGACUUGCGCGUCGUAGGGGAGCUCGGUCACGUACAUGUUUUGAGAAGUGCUAAAUUGCAAUCAUGCAAAUAUGUUAUACAUCCCAUUUCUUAAUCCAUGUAAUGGAAAGAAAACGCAAAUGAAAGUAUCCAGAAGAUACCGUAACUGGAUCAAGUCUUUUUUCAAUUGCUACAGUCUUCUGAAGAUAGACCUCAAAACCCCAGCAAUGCCACGACCUGGGGUCCUGACAUUCAAGCUUAAAGCUUCUGCCGUCACUCCCUUAGCUGACCUCUGAGUCCCAGGCAAUGUGCCACUGGCUGCAUCUGGCCCCCUCGCAGCCCACCCCAGCUUGAAUUCCUCCUUUGGCAAAAGCCUGCUGGUGCCAGCAUGGAGCUCUGCUCUGCCCCACGGAGGGAACUACCCAGCCCCAAAAGGUUAGUGAUGGAAGUUAAAGAAACUCCAUGCACCUGGGCUGACAGAUACAAGUCCUAGAGCGGGGACCGUGCUGGUUCAGGAACAAAUAAAUCUGGGGGUGCGGGGGGUGACUGGGAGGAGAGGGAUUCUGGGCUGGGGGGGGUGACUGGGAGGAGAGGGAUUCUAGAACAUUUGAGAUUGCGAAGCCUACACAGGUGUAGGGUUUUUGGUGUGUUUUGUAGAUCAGUGUGUCCCCAGUGCCCAAAAUUGGACUUGGCACAUGGUAGGUGCUCAGUAAAUAUUUGUGGAAUGAAUGAAUGAAUGAAUGAAUGACUCAAGAUGGUUCCUUACUGACCGGAAGUAGACGUGUGGAAUUAUGUAGUUGGAGAGAGCCCCUGCCAGCUAGGCUGCCCAAGCUGGAUGGCAGAAAGGCCAGCUGGCUCACCACCAAGGUGCACGUUUCUCCCAGAGACCACGGGAGGACAGCAGGAAAGUGGAGGACCUCCCUCCACCCAGCCCCUGCAAGCUCAGAAGCCUGGUUUUCCUGGGUAUCCAAAACUGAUAAACUCCAAGGCCAAGGGUGAUCAUUAGAAAAAAAGAGGAAGACUUCUGUCCCAGGGGACACCAGCAGGUCCUGCGGACACACCUCCCUGGUACCUGGCCCCUCCUCUCCGAUCCUCUGAGGUCUAGAGUCUCCUCCGUCACCCUGGACCUCUCCUCUCCCCUCCUGGGCUGUCUCCAGGAUGCAUCUGGAGUCUACCUUAGGGCUGGGAAGUGUGGAAUCAGGACAAGGCACGUUAACAGGGGUGGGGGGUGGGGCCACUUGGGCAAGAUUUACAUCAUCGUAUGUGGCUUCUUGAGGUACUGACUGGUAGCAACUCCUGGUAAAGGCAAAAACGACUAUCAAAUAUACCAAGAAUCUUUGCCCUCCGUGACCCACUUCCAGGAAUCAACCCUUAGAAGUGAUGACAGGAGGCGUCGCAAUACACCUGAAAAAGGAUGUUCUUGAAUGCAUUAAUAAUGAUGGGAACUUGGAAGCUACAUACACGCCCUGGAGAGAAGGGUUAAAUGAGAGUGUGGUCCUCAGGAAACCCACUUAUGCCCCCAGCAUGCCGCAGGACCAAGAGAUGACAGGAGCCUCCAAACGUAAUUAAACCAUGCCUGCAAAGGAUUUUAGAAAUUUGCACGAAGGGUAGGGGUUUGCAGAGAUGGCUUACCGUUGCAGCGCGCGUGGCAUUUCACUCCAAACAGAAGGAAAAAAAAAAAAACCUACACUCAGCUCCUGUCCCCGGGGCUCCCUGGGUAUGUCCAGCCCCUGAGCACCCAGCUGUCAGCCAGACCCUCUGGAUCCAGCAUCCCCCAUGGCCUCUGUCUUCUUCCUUAUUAGAUAUUUAUAAAAAGAGAGAUCUAAAUGCGAUGGGCUCCAGGCCAAAUAGGGGGUCACUGGCACAGGCACCCACGAGCACGGCAGAAGCGGGCCACUGUCAGAAGGCGCUGUAUAUACAUAUGUAUGUAUGUACUUUUAUCUAUGUAAAAUACAUACACGGAUGAAAAAAGAAUCGAGGCGAAUGUGAAGAAAUGUAAAUGUCAUUUGAUUUCCACUUGGGCCUCUUUUUCUAUACCAAUGCCUAAGUUCAGAAAAAACGUGGACUAUCCUACGGAACCCUGCCUCGGCAGGGGUCCCCUACAAGUAUGCCGGCUCUUUGUAUCUGCAUGCAAUUUGAUCUCUCUUCUAGAUCCUCCCAAGGUCUGCAGGCUUAUCCAGCACUCCUGCCUCCUCUCUCCUUGUGGGUGGUCCUCAUGCCCCAAACCCCUUAGAGAAACACAGACUUGCCAGCUGGUGAACGAAACGAAGGUGCCGGUUCUGGAGGCUCCCUUCGGGUGGCCCAGAUGCCGGACCCUCCAAGCCUUCCUGGGAGCUUCGGACGGGAGGCUGUGCCUCUGAGCUCUUCCUGCUCCAAAGGCCCGGAUGCGCCUGCCUCGUCUGCCUGCCCUAGAGCCCAGCCGGCCUUUCUCUGCCUUUCCCCACUCCCCACCGCCCGACUCCCACCUCGCACCUCCCCCCCCCCAACCCUGCACCCACCCCACAAACAGCUCUGCUGGAUGAAACUUCCCGCCGGCAAAGAGGAGCCUAGAGAAGUAACUAAGACAUCUGUUUCUGGAAAUGGCCCAUCAGGUCACUGAAACCAUACCCCCCCCAAAAAAGUUAUUCUUUUUUAAAUUAAAAAACAGAUGGGAUAUUAUAAGAGAAAGACUCUUUUUUAAAGGCUUCAAAGAGAUGACAAGCUAGUGAGGAAUUGACGAGCAGAGUCGCAGAGAAGAAAAUCCAGAACGGAAAACCCAGCUCUCAAAUCUGCUCUUGCCUCGAGGGCACUGGGAUCCAGAUGAAUCUACUUAGAAACUAAGCUGUGCUUCCGAUGGGCUCGUGGGCAAAAGUCACCGCCCAGCGCCCACCACAGUCUGGGGCCCUACUGAGCACCCCCCUUCGCCAACCACCCCCCCGAAGGCGUACACCCCCAGAGCAAAGGAAAACCAGAACUGAGCCAGCCCUCCGUGGGCCUGUGGCUUCGCUCCGCGCCCUCUGGUUGACUCAGGGAGCCCCAGGCCUCGAGCCUGCAUGAUGGUGGCCCCGGCUCUCGUACUGCCGGCAAGCAUCUGUCAGAAAAGCAGGGAAAGCCUUCUCUGGAAGAAGGUUAACGUCACCCUAGGCCUCAAAUCGUUCCUACGCAGGAAGAGCCAUCCUUGAAAUCCGGGAACUCCUGGCAGGCCACCUCCCUGAGAAGGACACGGAGGUCACCUCACAAGGACACUGGAGUGCCCGCCCCACGGGGCAGAAACAUACCUGACCGCUCCCCGUGCUGUCACGAGCCCUCACUGCGCCCUUUUCUGGGAUGAAGCUGGACCCAGUUGCAGGUUCUCUGUGACCUCAGAGCUGUGUGCAUGAAGGAGGCCCCUUCUCCAUAAGAGAAAUGCAAAAACUUAGAAAACUGAAACCACUAAAACCCAUCACCAUCUUUUCCCCCAGUGUUCUUUGCAAGGAGCCAGGAGGGUUUCUUGGGAAGCAGGUGGCCCUGCCGGGGGAGGGUGUCUAACACCGGGAAAAGGGCUCGGCCUCUUUGAGAGGAAAGUACCCCUCUUCGAUGGGCUCAGGACACAUCCCACCCCUUGGCCAUUUCUCCUGAGGCUCACUCCCAGGCCUCCCUUGUCCCAUCCCCAUCCCUUCCUGCCCCUUCGGAUCCAGUUGAGGGCCCACCACCGCUCCCACCCCUCAGAACUCUCCCAACAAUGGGGGACUUUCAUCCGCUUGAUGUCUGACUUCGCUUAGUACGAAUUCCACAGACACCAAAGCCAAGACUGUUAUGUCCACGAGGGUGUUCACAGUUCCCAGAACACUGCCUAGCACAGAGGAGGGCUCAGCCGUUUGGUUUUUUGUUGUUGUUGUUUUGGGGGGGGGGGUUAAUUUUUUCCACAAGCAAAUGAAUGAAAUCACAGCAUUUCCUGUGAAGCCCAAAGACUGAACAGCCGGCUACAGGCCUUCCCCCGGCCUUUGCUUCAGUGACGGACUUCCUCCUCCUCCAGGAACACUGGGAGCCCUUCUCCUUAUCUCCCUUCAUUUUCCUCUUCUUUUGUCUCCUCCUUUUGUACGAGACUUUUCAGGCGCCUGUGUCCUCCGGCGCUUUUAGAGUAGGCUCUUCUAGGACAGCGCUGCUCGACUCUUUUCCAUUCUAAAAACACUCCCAAAUUCAUUUACUGGCAACGUCCCUAUACUACCGUCAUUGUCGCUAUCAAAAGUGGUCACUGCCUCAGUGGUCCCAGUGGGAGACCCCGUACUGAGCACAAAGAGAAUUAACAGUCUGUGUCUGCCUGGAAGCUGGAGGGAGCCUCACGGGGAAGGUGGGGCCAGUGAGUGUUCUCUGAUGAUGUCACAGAUACAUCAACAAGUGCCUGGGGAGGAAAGAGGGGGGAGGAGGGCAGGAAUAGCUGUGACACCUCCCUAGAGAAGUAAUGAUAUGGGCGGGGGGAGGGGCAUGUGGGAAAGGGUUUGAUCAGUCCUUGUGGUAGAAGGUGAGGGCCCCAGAGCCUGAGGGCACAGGGAACAGGGUGAACCCACUACUGCACGGGACAAGCAGGGGGAUUUGGGAUUUUUUGGCUGGGGGGUGUGGGGGGGUGAUGGGAUGGGAGGAGUAAGCAGGGCGAGGCAAGAGGGCAAGUAAAAAGAGUGUCGUUGGCAAGAGUAGGAGGCUGGACGCCGCUGGCCUGGAGCCAAGGGAACAUUCCAGUGGCAGGGAUGGGGGACAGAAAGAACGCUUACAGGCAGGAACGUCCAAGGCACCCUUGUAAAAGUGUGUGCAUGUGUUUGCGGUGCACAAGGCAAGGCCUCUCAGGAACAUGCCCACGUCCUCCAGAAAACCCAAACGCUGCCUCCACGUCUCUUAUGUGAUAGAGUUUUGAUUGCACCUGACACCCAGGGUGAUGUGGCGAGGGGAGCGCAGAUGUACAGAAGGCAAAAAUCAGGAGGCGAAGACGACCCCAUGGUCACAGGCCCCCAGGCCUCCAAAGAAAGCCCACGACGGCGGGAUUGUGCCUGCCUGAGCUCCUUAGAUCUUAAAUCUCACCGGGGCCUGGACACCUCAGAGAAUAAAGCUCUGGGGAGACAGGGCCGUGGGUUGGUAGGCCACGGCACCACGUAAAAGUGGGGCUGGAACUGGACCUUGACUGGGGGGCGGGGCGGUGCAGGUGACAUGGCGCGGAACCGCUGAGGACACAGCUGCACACGGGCACUGACGAAAGGGCUGUUCAGGGACAGGCAGGGGGCGGGGGCAAGGGGGGUCACGGUAGAAGACGGAGCAGCCUUCGGAGAGACUCCUAAGCUAAGUUAAAGAGUUUGGACUUUUAAUCUGUUGGCAAUGGGGAGGCAGUGAAGCUUUAUUGACCACAGAAGCACUUGGGUCAGAGAGUGCUUGAGACCACCCCCCCAAGGGUGGUGUUUGGGCUUCAGCCCCCCAGGUUCUGCCCCAGGGUCUCUCGGAGAGCCGGAGAGCCGCUAGGAGACUCCACAGGAGCUCAGACUGUGGGAAGGAGGGCCUGGAGGGGAGGAGGGCCACCAAGGCCAACAAUGGCAGGGGAGGUGAGGAAGUGACGAGAAAGCUGGCUGGAGGCAGGGAGGGAAGAGGAGGGGAGGAGGGCAGACAUUGAAUCAAAGAUGAUGCGGACGACCUUGAUGCUGGGGAGAGGUCUGGAACCCCGGGGGACCCUGGAGAGAUGCAGGUGGGGCUUGGGGAGCACCGGCUGGCAAAUGCUCCAGGUGAGCACACACAGGAGGGAGGGAGGGAGGCAAGGAAACCUUGACUCACACUGCUUUUCUCAAAUGCAGACUUCCAGAACACAUUCUCUGUCUUCUCAAGUGCACAGAGGCUUCAGGCCAUCAUCCUGCCCUAGGAAAGGCAUCUGCGUCUCACUGGACAGAGACAUGCGCUGCCCCAAAAUGCCCACUGGGCACACUCACACACCCAGCCUACAGCACCGGCAGGCGCAAAGGAAGCCCUGAACAUAUCUAUCUGCAGUACCCCAGGGGCAAACGUCUGAAAUUCUCACCACCACCACCCCCCCCACACCAAAACGCUGAAAAUGUUGAAGAUCUCCCAAAGAGACAAGUUUGCCAGCCUCUGGCACGAGCCUCCUGACCCUCUACCUCCACUUGGCAAAGUUCGAACCUGUAACCUUUUAUCUACUGUGACUGAAGUUUUCCGGGCACUUUC